rnacentral:misc_RNA from 1 species
UUAACGUAUUAAAAUAGUACUCGGACAACACUAAAUACAGGGUUUGGGUCUUCUGGCAGGCACGCCUCAGCCGAAGCCGAGCGCCCGAGGGCGGCCUGCCAAAGCAACAAUCGUAAUAACACAGGGUGGGAGGUCUACCCCGUUAAGGGCAUGAUCUCAGUAAUGAUCCUUCCGCUGGUUCACCAACGGAAA